rnacentral:rRNA from 1 species
GACGAACGCUGGCGGCGUGCUUAACACAUGCAAGUCGAACGGAAAGGCCCUGCUUUUGUUGGGUUCUCGAUUGGCGAAGGGGUGAGUAACACGUGAGUAACCUGCCCUUGACUUUGUGGUAUAUUUUGGGAACUCGGGCUAUUACCGGAUAGAAUCUCUUGCUGCAUGGUGUUGGUUGGAAAGUUUCGGCGGUUGUGGAUGGACUCGCUGCUUAUCAGCUUGUUGGUGGGGUAGUGGCUUACCAAGGCUUUGACGGGUAGCCGGCCUGGGAGGGUGACCGGCCACAUUGGGACUGAGAUACGGCCCAGACUCCUACGGGAGGCAGCAGUGGGGAAUAUUGCACAAUGGGCGGAAGCCUGAUGCAGCAGCGCCGCGUGCGUGAUGACGGCCUUCGGGUUGUAAACCGCUUUCGCCUGUGACGAAGCGUGAGUGACGGUAAUGGGUAAAGAAGCACCGGCUAACUACGUG